GAGGGUAGAGCUCAGUGGCAGUAUGCUUGUUUAUUAUACAGGAGGUCCUGGGUUCAAUCCCCAGUACCUCCA
rnacentral:tRNA from 1 species